AAGGCCCUAGCUUAGUUAAAGCGUCUGGGUUGCAUUCAGGAGAUGUAGGUUAGUAUCCUGUGGGUCUUA
rnacentral:tRNA from 1 species